GACGAACGCUGGCGGCGUGCCUAAUACAUGCAAGUCGAACGCAGUGGGGACGGGUGAGUAAAACGUGGGUAACCUCCCAUCAGAGGGGAUAAAACUUGGAAAAAGGUGCUAAAACCGAUAUUGAUGGAUGGACCCGCGGGGCAUUAGGUAGUUGGUGAGGUAACGGCUCACCAAGGCGACGAUGCAUAGCCGACCGGAGAGGGUGAUCGGCCACACUGGGACUGAGACACGGCCCAGACUCCUACGGGAGGCAGCAGUAGGGAAUCUUCGGCAAUGGACGAAAGUCUGACCGAGCAACGCCGCGUGUGUGAAGAAGGUUUUCGGAUCGUAAAGCUCUGUUGUUAGAGAGGCGUUAUCUAACCAGAAAGCCACGGCUAACUACGUGCCAGCAGCCGCGGUAAUUC
rnacentral:rRNA from 1 species